rnacentral:rRNA from 1 species
UCUGGUGGCGAUAGCGAGAAGGUCACACCCGUUCCCAUACCGAACACGGAAGUUAAGCUUCUCAGCGCCGAUGGUAGUUGGGGGCUCUCCC